AUGGCGGCGGCGAAGCCCGGUAGUAGUAGCGACAUCGACACGGCGGAGCUGGACCGGGUGCUACACGCGGUGGGCUUCCAGAUCGAGACGGUCUCCCCCGCGCUGCUCGCCGGGAGGCUCCCCGUCACGGAGCGCUGCUGCCAGCCGUUCAAGGUGCUGCACGGCGGCGUGUCGGCGCUGGUGUCUGAGGCGCUGGCCAGCAUGGGCGCGCACAUGGCGUCGGGCUACCGCCGCGUCGCGGGCGUGCACCUCAGCAUCAACCACUUCCGUAGCGCCGCCCUCGGCGACGUCGUGCUCGCCCGCGCCGUCCCCGUCCACCUCGGCCGCUCCACGCAGGUGUGGGAGGUGAAGCUGUGGAAGAUGGACCCGUCGGCGGAGAUGAAGAAGGGGCCGCAGAUCGCCGAGGCCAAGGUGACGCUGCUCUGCAACCUGCCCGUGCCGGACAACCUCCACCACGCCGGCGACGCCCUCAAGAAGUACGCCGCCGAUGGCGCUGCACCUGCACCAACCACCACCGCCACCAGCAAACUGUAA
rnacentral:rRNA from 1 species